CCUUAGCAGACAGGCACGGAGGUGAGGACCCCCAAAAGACCACAACAAGUCACUACAUGUUUGGACAGUGACUUGCUAUAGAGGAGGCUGGUAAGCUUGCACACAAGAGAACAAACUGGUACCCUAUCUGCGCCCGUUAUAUCGAGUUUAUGCCAGAGACAUGAAAGAGAGCUCUUAACCAGCAAACUGUAUUUCUCACGCAUGCCAGGCAGAGGCAGAAUCCACGCUGGGAGAUAGCUUUUCUCAGAGUAAUUGUUAUUUUGAUUUCCAGGAAUUUCUGUCCGGAUGUACUAUUCUGAAUACAAAUUCAUGUAAAUUGAUUUCUCCAUAAUGUGUGUUUUUUGUAGUUAAUCUUUAGAAUACAUAUUCGCUCCUUUUCUCGUUGACUUCCCAAAUGAUGUUUCGGGUACUUUUUAAAGCGGUGUCUGUAUAAUUACAUCUGUAGUUGCAGGCAUUAAAAU